rnacentral:rRNA from 1 species
GUUUGAUCCUGGCUCAGAAUCAACGCUGGCGGCGCGCCUAACACAUGCAAGUCGCACGAGAAAGCGGGAGCAAUCUCGCAAGUAAAGUGGCGUACGGGUGAGUAACACGUGGAUCAUCUGCCCUGGAGUGGGGAAUAACGCUGGGAAACCGGCGCUAAUACCGCAUAUGCCCGAGAGGGGAAAGCAGCAAUGCGCUCGAGGAGGAGUCCGCGGCCGAUUAGCUAGUUGGCAGGGUAAAAGCCUACCAAGGCUAUGAUCGGUAGCCGGCCUGAGAGGGCACACGGCCACACUGGCACUGAAACACGGGCCAGACUCCUACGGGAGGCAGCAGUGGGGAAUCUUGCACAAUGGGGGAAACCCUGAUGCAGCGACGCCGCGUGAGCGAUGAAGCCCUUCGGGGUGUAAAGCUCUUUCGGCAGGGAAGAUUAUGACGGUACCUGCAGAAGCAGCUGCGGCUAACUACGUGCCAGCAGCCGCGGUAAUACGUAGGCAGCAAGCGUUGUUCGGAGUUACUGGGCGUAAAGGGUGUGUAGGUGGCGCGCUAAGUUCCGUGUGAAAUCUCCCGGCUCAACCGGGAGGGUGCGCGGAAAACUGGCGGGCUAGAGUGCGGGAUGGGAGAGUAGAAUUCCUGGUGUAGCGGUGAAAUGCGUAGAUAUCAGGAGGAAUACCGGUGGUGUAGACGGCUCUCUGGACCGUAACUGACACUGAAACACGAAAGCGUGGGUAGCAAACAGGAUUAGAUACCCUGGUAGUCCACGCCCUAAACGAUGCAUAUUUGGUGUAGGUCAUUCAGUUGAUCUGUGCCGGAGCUAACGCGUUAAAUAUGCCGCCUGGGGAGUACAGUCGCAAGGCUGAAACUCAAAGGGAAUUGACGGGGGCCCGCACAAGCGGUGGAGCAUGUGGUUCAAUUCGACGCAACGCGAAGAACCUUACCUGGGCUCGAACGGCUAGUCAACGAUCGUGUAGCACGGUUACUCCGCAAGGGGUCUAGUCGAGUGCUGCAUGGCUGUCGUCAGCUCGUGUCGUGAGAUGUUGGGUUAAGUCCCGCACGAGCCGCAA